GACGAACGCUGGCGGCGUGCUUAACACAUGCAAGUCGAACGGAAAGGCCCUGCUUUUGUGGGGUGCUCGAGUGGCGAACGGGUGAGUAACACGUGAGUAACCUGCCCUUGACUUUGGGAUAACUUCAGGAAACUGGGGCUAAUACUGGAUAGGAGCUCCUGCUGCAUGGUGGGGGUUGGAAAGUUUCGGCGGUUGGGGAUGGACUCGCGGCUUAUCAGCUUGUUGGUGGGGUAGUGGCUUACCAAGGCUUUGACGGGUAGCCGGCCUGGGAGGGUGACCGGCCACAUUGGGACUGAGAUACGGCCCAGACUCCUACGGGGGGCAGCAGUGGGGAAUAUUGCACAGUGGGCGGAAGCCUGAUGCAGCAACGCCGCGUGCGGGAUGACGGCCUUCGGGUUGUAAACCGCUUUCGCCUGUGACGAAGCGUGAGUGACGGUAAUGGGUAAAGAAGCACCGGCUAACUACGUG
rnacentral:rRNA from 1 species